AAACUCUUCAGGACCUGAAUACAGCAGAGUGACUAUUCCAGUUUGAAAGGACAUUCAAGAGCACAAAAGACCAGUGACUUCUGGGGAUAUUUCCUGAUGUUCUUGGCACUUUUACAAUUUCUGCUGUUUUUCCUUUUUUACGUAAAUCCUCCCCUAGUAACCAGCAUGGGGUAUUUCUGAAGUUCAUUUAGUGCCAUUUUUCUGUAUUGUCCAACAGAUUGUUUCUAGUACCUUCUGAUGUGUGGCAGCUGUGUUUUAACAAUUCCAAGUAUACCAUAUGAAAGUAAUCAAAGACAUUAACACACUAGUGUCCGCAGCUCUAGGGGUAUUUCCUGCAUGUGGUACUGGUAGGCCAUGUGAAGUUGUACAUAAAUUACUUUGUUUUGUUUUUUUGGU
rnacentral:lncRNA from 1 species